GAGAGGAACAAAAUAAAAUGGAAAAGAAGAUAGAGGGAGAGAAUUAAGAAAGGGAAAUAGAGAGAUGUUGAGAAGAAAACAGAGAGAGGAGAGGGAGGGUGAGACAAAGUUUGGGUUUUGAGAGUUUGCACUUUAAAAGACAGAAAGAAAGAGAGGAGGAGACGGGAAAGACGGAUGACAGAGAGAAGAUGAGAAAGAAAGAAAAGAAGAAGAAAUAGGAAGAGGGAAGAAGAAUACAUUUUUAUUUCUGGAUGGGUACUUUCUAAGGGAGAGAUCAGAAACGAGAGAGAGAGAGGAGAGAGGAGAGUUUGUUUCAAGUUAAUAGGCGUCCGUCAAAGAACGACCAAUCAUCUUCUUCUUUGACUUCGGCGUUAUCUUCUCCAGCGCAUCAGACCCAAUCGUCCUCUUCUCUUGCUCAAAACCGCCGAGAUCGGUUCCGGCCUCGUCUUGUCCAGAUCGAGUCCGGUUUUGUCCUCAGUCAAAGGUCAUCAUUGCUCUCCUCUUGCUCAGACCGCUUUCCGGCUUUGUCUUCAGCCAAAGACCGUCAACGCACUUCUUACCCAGACUGGUUUCAUUCGUCCGAGACCGUUGCAGACGAUUGGUCUGAAAUCGUCGCCUCCAUCUCACCACAUACCGACCGGGUUCUUCAGUUCAUCGCUGCUCACAGGUCGACCGGAUUUGUUUAACCCAAUCAACAUCUGGGUCGAAUCCUUCAGUCACAGAUCGACCGUCUGUUUCGCUUCUUCAGUUCAGGCCGGUGUCGGCCUUAGUCCAAUCCUACCUGUGCAACAGGUCAAUUCCAAUAUAUAUAUAUAUAUAUAUAUAUUAAAUUGCUGCAUGUUAUGUUAUUAUUUCAGAAUUCCUGUUAUUUUUUCCACUGCAUACUCUGUGUUUUUGUGAUUCUACUACUAUAUUGUUACAAUGGGUGGUGAUGAAAGUGAAGGACAGUGUUCUAAGAUCAAUGAGGUCCAAAAGAUUGAGGUUUCUGUCAGAAAUUCAGACGAUGGCUCUUUUGGUGGUCCAAAACUCAAUGGUACCAAUUUUCGAACAUGGAAGAAGAUUAUGUCUAUCCAUCUUAGUGGCAUACACAAGAUGGGGCAUGUGAAUGGAACAACCAAAGCUCAUAGUGAGGAAGAUGCAGAUGCUUAUGCUAAGUGGGAGGAUGAUGAUGGAUCUGUGAUGGCUCUCUUGUUCAAAGCCAUGACUGAAGAUGUGCUACAGUUGGUGGAAGAGUGUGAGACUGCUGAAAUGAUAUGGAAGACAUUGGGAGAUCUGUAUACCAAUGAGUCUGAUUUUAUACAGGUUCAUGAAUUGAUGUGCAAAGCUGCUAUAUGCAACAGAAUGGGCAACCAGUAGCUGUGUAUUUCACCAAGCUAAAGAUUGUAUAGGCUGAAAUUGAUCAGAAGCGUCCCUGCAAGAUCAAGAAUCAUAAAGAUCUUGUGUGGUACCAGAAGGAGAAGGAGCUUGAAAGAGUUCAUGUAUUUUUGAGAGGGCUUGAUGAGAAGCAUAGCAGUGCCAAUGGAGAAUUUCUCAGAAUGACAGACCCUCCUAGUCUAAACACAGCUUUCACGUACAUCCGUAAAGAUGAGUCUCAGUAGGAAAGUGUCAAGCACGCACAGGUUGAAGUGUCUAGCCUAGCCAUUCAGGCUAAGUCACCGACACCUUUCCUUCAGCAGCAGAGUUCGGUUCCCCUGCAUCAGCAAAGUCCUCCUCCAGGCUUCACCAACCGCCCUCGUCCUUAAUGCUCGUAUUGAAACUACCUUGGACAUGUUCGAGAGACUUGUUGGAAGCUGAAUGGGUACCCCAAAAAGAAAGGUUAUCGUCCUAAGGCAAAGGCAGCUGCGGUUCAGUUAAUCCAAGAACCAGACUUCUAUGGCGUGGCCGGACAGGAUCAUCAUACCACAGGUGGGGCUACUCCUACAACCUCUAUAGCUGGUCGUGGAUCUUUGCACCAGGGAGAUCAUCGGUCGGGGGUACCUAAGGGGCAGGUUGUUCCAUUUGGAUCAGACAUAUGCAGGGGAGAAACCAGGAGCACAGUCCCGCACCGCUUUGAAUUCGAAUUCUGAUAAGCUAAGUGAAAUUUGA